GAGAACGAAACAGACUUCACUCCCAAAAAACUUAAGACGGGUUCCUGUGGGAGGAUCUGCGCACUAUUCAUCUUUAAUGUAUCUCAACUUGUGCUCUGAGGCUCCGAGGAGCAGCGAUGGAGAACAGACAGAAGGAAAGAAGAAUUGAAAAAGGAAAAAGAGAAUAAGGAAGGAGAAAAGAAAAGGACGAGGGGGCAGCUUACUGGGGAAUAGGACUAUACUGUGAAUGAUUGAUGAGCAGACAGGGCUGUUGGGCGCGUUCGCCGAGCAAUAAAAAUGGACUAAUCCAUCCUUUUCACUCCCUGAGGAUCACAGCGCCAUAGCCAUCACUGAGCUGGAGGAAUCUUUUGGAACUUUCCAGUCCGUUCACUGACCAGUUUUCAAGAAGCAAAACAGUGGAGGAGUUGGUGCCAAAUGGUAUCCACCCACUGGAGUCUCUCCAUCACUUCCACUUUUUCAAUCUUGUUUUUUUUUUCUCUUCCGUUCCCUUUCCCUCUCCUGUCUGUUUGCCGAUCUGUCUCUUUGUCUUCCUGUACCUGUCCAUCUGACUGGGGUUUAGUUAAUUUGCCUGGAUCAAUCUGUUCUCCCCCCCCAAAAUGUCCACACUCAUCUCCUGUGUCAUUUCCCCCUUGACCACCUACUCUCACCAGUGUAAUUUUCCCUCCAAACUCACCUCCAUCCAUGCAGCAUCCUGAUUACCCGUCUCUCCCUCUGCUUACUAGUUCUCCCAUCAGCUGCUGGUGAGUUUGAUUUUUCUUUGCUAAACACAGAGUGACCCCUAUUGGUGGUGGAGGUACUUGCAGGCAGUAAUGGCACAUCUUUCUCUUCUCUAGGGGACAUCAAGCGUGAAAUCAGCCUGGCAUUGGCUACACUGUGACAGACCCUCUGUCUCGGGGCCAUAUUUGCCCCCUGCUCUCCUCCCUCUCGCUCGGGAAGUAGCACCAGUCAGCAGGUGGGGUUAGUCUCUGUGCUUUUUAUGCCUCCACAGUGUUUCCUCCUUUUCUUUUAUAGCUGCUAGACAGCUGACCGGGUCAUUAAAAGACUCUGAACUUCUAACUUGCAAUCAGUGACCCCUGGAGUAAAAAUCUUUUGGUCUCAGACACAAGAGAUAUUGUGUGUCAAAAAAAAAGUGCAGAAAGUAGAAUGUGGGUACCUCAGAUUCUUGUCUUGAGUUUAUUUUAUUGUUCUACAAUAUGAAAAUACUCUUAAAAAUAUUAAAAUCCUACAUUAAAUCUUCAUUAAAUCAUUAAAAUAAGUUAAAUUCGGCUUCAGUAUAUUGGAAAUUAAUGGAUUAUUUUCAGUUACCACUGAUGUUACUAAUUGUAAACUUGGCUUUAUAAACCUCUGAGUUAUUAAUCUGCAAAACACAUCCCUGUUUGUAAAUUUCUCUCAGUAUGAAAAGUAGCCUGUCAGUACAAUGUUUAUAUAAAUGUCCCAGGGCAAAGGGAGUUAGGGCCUGUGUCCACUGGCAACAUUUGGCGCUGGCAAGACCCACAACCUCAAUCUUAUUAUCCAUUUGCUAGAGAUCAUUAAGUCUGUUUAAAAAUGCUUUGUAUGCAUCAGAUUUUAUUCUGAAAAAGCUGAAGUUCAUUGCUUUGUACUGAAAAUAGAUGCCACCAGUAAAAAGAAAACGCUGUCAGUGGGCACAGGCCCUCAUACUUAGCACUGUAGUCUAUAAAUAUAGAGUAAAGUAGUUUGUAAUGUAGCCUAAACAUGGAGCUGGGGGUAGCCUGCAAAUAGAAAUUCCCCAAACUAACUUAACUCAGCUAGCAUUCAGUCUAAUUCUGACAAAUAUUCAUAAUGACUGUGUUAUGUGUAUCUACAGCUUGCUAUUUUACUCUUAAUGCUGCAGAAUUGCUUUGCUUUUUCAUAAUCAAGCUAUAUUAUGUAGCUUGGAGUGGAGCCUCUAGAGUCUCAAGGAGCGGUACACUUGAUUUUGUCCCUUUUUAAUAAGCUGGGUUCUCUGUUUUCAGUGAUAACCUGCUGAUUUUGUUGAAUAUUUACCCUACAGACAUAAGACCUAUACUGAGAAUUCAAUUCCUGAUAAUAAUGUUAAUUUCCAAGAAGAGGCACUAGAAACACUGCUUGUGAUAAUAAUAAUACAUUUUAUUUAAAAGCGCCUUUCUGGACACCCAAGGACACUGUACAGGCAUUAAGAACACAGUUAAAACACAUAAAAUAAAAUAAAUAAAAACAACAUACAGGUAUUGAGAUGGACAAUUAAAGGGAAUAUGCGAUUUGGAACAUAUGUGUUUUGAGUUUUGAUUUGAUAACUUGUGUAAGAAAAUGUGUUAUUUAGUUUUGUCUUAAUCUGCAACAUUUGGUCUUCCUUCACUAUUUUUGCUCGUGCUACAAAGUGAUACACAGAUAGGACCUAAAUUAGACUGUAUAUCAUGCUACUAUGUUCAGCGCUUUCACAAAAACACUGCUCACAGUGGUAAUGCCAUGCGAGUCUGUGUUCUCCACCGUACACUGCACAUCAAUUCACAGUAUAAAUGUGACAAUCUGUUUGCGCCUCACAAAUGCUGUAGAAACAACCGAGUGACUCAUCAGCUCUGUAACACAGACUUCCUGAGACAUAAAGUUGAUCUCACUGUAUUUAUCUGCUGUUGCUCUUGGGAGUCAAAACAGAGGGAAGUGAAUCAUCUUAAAUUUGCUAAAAUGCUUAAGUUAUGACACAGCCGGCAGAGACUCGCCUUUGAAAUGUGGAGAGUGGUGUGCCGGGCUGUCUGCGGUAAGUGAAGUGUAAUUACGUUUUCAGUGUAGAAAAAUGUCCUGAGUUCGACUUCACGUUUAAUUUUCUCCGCAGUGAAAAGAGCGAGUGAGACGUAUGCAGAUAGGAACGUCAAUAUGAACUCUGCUUUCUCUUUGCUUUCAUCAUUCACUAAAGGCAUCGUGACAUUGCCGAUUUUGUUGAGAGGAUUCAGUACAAGGGAGUUUGCUUCAAACAGUGAAAAGAGGAGCGGGAAAACACCUGGUUUUGUCUGACGGAUCAUAUACAAGAGUCAGUAUCACACAGGGAGACAGAGACACGCAGUAUUUAACCUAUUAAAAUUCACUAAAUCAAUCAGUUUUAGGAGGAGAGGUUACAACCACACCAAAAAGUAGGCUUUUAUCACCGUCUCUUCUUUCACAUUAAGAGUUUUGAAGCCCAAAAUUCGCAAGUUUCUGUCCGUCUGACAACAUAACAAAUUUUUGUGUAACUCCCAGCCUCGAUAAAGCUGGGCAGGUUUUGCUCUUUUGUCUGUGUAGGAAUAAAUUCAAUUCAAUUUCAAUUUUUAUUCAUAUAGCACCAAAUCAUAACAGUCGUUGUCCCAAGAUGAUUUCUAAAAAAACAAGUCUAGACCUAACCCAUUGUUCGAUAUAUUACAAAAGACCCAACCUCGAGAUGGAAAAAGAUUUAACCCAUCUCAAACCAACAUGAGUGAAGCACUUUGCAGAAUUCAGCAGGUUAUAAUGAAAGGAAAAAAAUUCCAUUUAACAGGCAGAAACCUUGAAUGUGGUUGUAAUAUUUCAGUUUUCACAAUUUCUUUUUUAUCUAGAAAAAAAGGAGAAUGACGUGAUCAAGUAUGUUUGUCUUAUAUUGAUUCUUCAUGUGAGUAUCCCCAAAGUUGCCCCACUUCUAUAUGUUAUUUUUCUUCUGUUUUGUUUUGUAUUUUCCUCACAUGGUGCUUUUGUGUGUCUUAGUUGUUUCAUGUUUUAUUUUGUAUAUCAUAAUCACUCACUUGGUUUUUGUUUUCCUUAAUCCAAUGCAGAAGUAUGUAAUGUUCAUGAUCGUGUCAGCCACCAAGGUGAUGCUACAGCGUAGGUCCAACCUGGCUUUAGCUUUUCAUGUCAGUGUAUUUUGUGUUUAGACAUUAUAACCUUUUUUUUUUAUCAUUAAAGCAUCCCACUGCGCAACGCGACAUAGAAAUGACAUCUAUUUAACGUAUUUUUUCGACGAUGGGGUACAAAUUUGGACAUCUCAGUGUCUAAAAGAGGUCCAAUAACGACAUCUUAAUCUUGGAUCCAGAUCAGAUGACGUCCAAAUUCUAAACGUCAGAGCAAUGUCUAAAAAAGGUCCAAUUUGGAUGUCAAAAUUUCUAACCUUUUUUGCACGUUGCAUUGACAUCUAGAUGUGGUCCUUGUUGAUCUGCAUGUCCCUUCAACAUCCGAUGUUUGGUUGGAUGUAAGCCUGCAUUUUUGUUCCUCACCUGUUCUUUUAGAUGAGGGUGGCCAACCCUAGGUGAGCUCUGGGCACCCCAUGGUAACACCCCUGCGCAUAUAUAGUGUACGUAUCAUUAUUGUUAAUUUUGGUUUCAUGUCAUUUUAUCAUUAUUUAGCACCCUACUAAAUAAAUAAAUUUGGCUCAGUAUUUCUUUUUACAAGCUUUUUUUGUUUGCAGGAUUGCCAAUUAUCUCAAAUUAAGACAAUUUAUGAAACUGCUGACAACCUCUGAAGUGAAAAUGAUGACUCAGACAUUUUUAACACCUGAUGCCUCAGCAGCCAAUCGCGCUCAGCUCAGACAGAAUAUUUGGUCACCAGAAGCGUCCGGCCCCCCUCUUGCGCUCUCAAUUACCUCCCAUGAUUCAUUUCAGAUUUCAUUUGAUGAGACUGACCCUCUGCCCCUGCCACACAGAAGACUGAGUCAUAAACGUCAGCCAUGAGAUUCUGAUUUAGGGAGAAAUGAACGAUUAAAAGUUAAUUGUUGAAAUGUGUCAAGGUGGCUUGUUUAAUUAUGGCAAACGAGGCAUUUCAUUUUCAGCUCGGCUUUAAAAUAGCUCGGCUGGAGGGGGGAAAGCCAACACUGCCAGGCUAGACUGCGUGGAUGGAGUGCUGCUUUAUUUACUUUGCAGAAGAAGUCACUGCGAUGACCCCUGGGGAAGAUAAUUAAGGUGGAAUCAACAUUUCAAACCAUACGUGAUGAGCGUAUCAAGACAAUUAUGCUCUCCAGAAAAGGGACGGGGGGCUUGCAGCGGGAGGAAAAUGCUGAUAACCAGUGUUACGCGGGUUUAAAUUGUGAGGUAUAACAGACAGUUUUGAGUACUCAGAUGCAGCUUAUCCCCAGGCUGCUGCUUACACGGGAUAAUUAGGUCCAAAGUAGGAGCUGGAGGGGGUGGCUGGUGGAGUGGGAGUGCACAGAUUCAAUCAGCUUGUAUUUUUUUCUCCAUAUUGUUAAGCACUUGAGCUAUUUCCCACUUAGUUAGUUCCCCCACAGUCACAGGGGAACUAACAGAAUGCUCUACCCAUCUCUUCUAGAUUUGUCGGGCACAUAUUUAUUGCCAUUGAUUUAUGUGUCAGGUCAGAGUCCUCCAUUGGCAGUAAUGUAUUCCAUCAUUUCCACUGUAUUCGAGCAGCGGAGAAGCCGUGAAAUGCUUUCCUGCCUCCCGCAAAGUUUGAACUGGGUCAUGGUUAAAGACCCCGCAGGCCAUUUCUCUUUGCAUAAGUGCUGCUUUCAUGGCAUGCCAGUUACACAGCAGAUACUCCAGUACGCUUCAUUUUCAUAUAAACUGGAGCCCCUUUUCCCCCCUUGUGGAUAGCAGAGCAAAUUCCAUUGUUAGAGUAUGACAGACAGCACCAUCACCAGAGAGAUACUAAACUCUGUAAAUAUUACCCGUUGUAGGCUUGUUGUAUCAUUUUUCAUACACCACACUGAAAUAUAUAUAUAUAUCUCAUGUUUAAAAUAUUAAGCCUACUUAUUAUUUUAAGCAUUUUUUAUCGACUGAAUUUGACAACAAUCAGUUUUUGUUUUGUAAAAAGUAGAAAAAUAUCAGUCACAAACCUCUUAUACAUACAGUCGUGCUGUAACACAGAUACUCUGUCAGUGUAACUUUGUAUUGAACUGUGUGAUUUCAUGUUAUGUUAUAGUGUUGUGUAAGCACUAGAGAUACAUGGCUGAAACUCCACAUACACACACGCUCAGAUGCAUACACAGAGCACUGAUCUGACUCUUUGCAACUAUCAGAGAUGAAACAACUUUUCCCCAAAAUAUGCUCCAUGGGUUAUAUAUUACAGGUGUGGUUUAUUAUAAUUGAUAUGUCUGGUGAAAUAGUACUGUGUAAAUUAGAAACCCAGAAGUGUUGAUUCAAGAGGAGACAAAAAAACAGUUUCUUUGAAUCCACAGUUGAUAGUGCUACAACAACUUUCAGAGUUGUUGCUAACGUCUCUACUGACUGUGGUUAGGUUUUUUCGUGGUGAUAUGCACCACGAUAUAGGCUGUAUCAGGUGUCAAUCAUAGAAAACAAGAACCCCCUAAUAACUUUAAAAAAUGGUGCUGCACAGAAAAAAGGGGACUUGAGGACAAACCAGUCUUACUAUAACUACAUGUUAACAUCGCAAGCAGGGGGGAGAAAAAUGUAUAUUCUGUGUAACAAGUUUCUUAAGUUUGUCCACAGCUCCAUAAGCUUUGCUGGCGGAGGCGGGAUUUAUGACCUAUACUGCAGCCCGUCACCAGAGGGUGCUGUUCUCGGAGCGGCUUCACCCAUCAAGGAGGCAGACGCUGUCCUUUCUAUAUAAAGUCUAGGGCGCUGACAAUAUGUAAAGUUGCCGGCAACAACUUCAAAUUUCUCUACCAGAAUUUCAGUCCCUGCUUGUCUCUAUUUAUAACGCUAUAAAACAGUGAAAGAGCAUUAAAAAGAAGAUAGAAGAGUAGUCGUAACCUGAUAAUUUCUGGCACAUCCCUUAUCUUUUACUGCUUUCCAUUAUCUAUACUGCUUAUCCCAUUUAGAGUCACGGGGGGCUGGAGCCUAGCUGUCACAGGGUGAGGGCAGGGUUAGAAAUGUCCCCCUAAGUAUAAUCAUGUUGAAAAAUAACUCAAAAUAUUAGUUAAAAGUGAAUUUUUUAUAUUUUCAACUAGACAAAUAGUUCAUAAUUAUUAUUACAGUCAUCAUUGUUGCAGCUUAUCUUGUGCUGAAGUUCUUGGUACCGUUGUGUGCAGGCUGCAAUUCUUGACAGAGACAUGAUUUUCGUCCUUUAAACAGAUAAUAUGAGGAAGUUUUGUAUUUGGAACUGGUUAGUUUGAAUUAUUAGUGAAUCAGACUUCAAGUAUGUUGGAUAUACGUUGUCUUCUUCCCAUUAUGAGGAAUUUCUAACUUAAUUUAUUCCAAUAAAUAACACUCAAACCCACUUCUCUGGUCCUCAGCGCUUGAAGCCUCAUGGUACUCACAGACAUACAGUAAGUAGUCCCAGAAAUAGAACUACCAUAAAGUCCUCUUCUGCAUGUUUUACCAGCAUUUAAACAUGCUCACACCCACACAUAUACACAUUCAAAAUAAUUGCCAAACAAAAUUAUUGAGGCCACGAGGAAAUUCAUAUUAUUUUAUGCGUGCUGUAGUCAUUUCACGCCUGAUGGACUCUCACCUUUAACCGCGAGUGAGCGUGUCUUUGGGUGCAGUUUGAGGCGAAGGGUAUUCUAAUAAAAGAAUAAUGGAAGCAUUCUCCCUUUUUAAUUGGACAUUGUUAGAAUGACAUAUCAAUCCUGCUGCAGAGAUGCCCUUUCCAUGUAUGCUGUAAUUGAACUGUUCCCUAUUUUCCCUCCUCACAGAAACAGAGCCUGCUAUUGUCAUGUGGAUGGGGGCCUCCUGCACAGCACGGGUGUUCAUUGUUGACUCUGCUUUCCCGGGCAUCAUAUCAAUUUGUUUGAUAUGAGUUUUCUCACUAAUAUCUUGAUUCUCAUGUGAUUUACUCCCUCUGUCUUCUGGAUCAUUUAUGCUCCCUGCAUAUAAACAGGCUAAUGUGCCAUUCUCUCUGUACUCUCAUUGAUAUUAGCAAUACUAUUACCAUUAGUGAUUCAUCCGCCUUCAUCGUCUCUGUUUUCUGCAAUUUUACAUUCCGAAAGCUUUGAUUUCCAUUAGCAUUUUUGCAAUUAUCCGGAAAUUCUAUUAAAGUUCUUGGCAAUAAAAUGACAAGAAAUGAUCACCCUAUUAAGCCCCGGAGCUAAAAACAACAUAAUGUGCACAGUAUUGUAUGGUAAUAUUUUUCAUUAGAAGACAAAAAAACAAAGAAUUACUACCUGUGUUUAACCACUCAGAAUUCCAUCUCAGGUAUUCAUGGCAUGAGGCUGACAAGCGAACUGAAGCCGAGCAAAUAAAACCUGGCAGCAGCUGGAUGAAUGGCUGCAUGUUUGGGUCAUGAUAAGAAAGAAUUACAUUUUUACACAUCACUGAGGAGAGCAAAACAAAGCCCGGUGUGAGGUUAAAAGCUCUUCAAAACUGCUGGAAAACCAAGCGGGGGAGGGAGGGAAAUAAAAAUGAAGCAUCAUUUUCUCUUAGCGGUUUAAGCUUUUUCCUCAGUGGCAGAUGUAAGUGAUUUACAGCUCAUCAAAAUCGCACAGUAUCACCCCCAGUGCACACAAUAUCACCCCCAAUGCACACAUAUAGUCAAACAUAUGAUACUAGCCCGCAGAGUGGGAACGGUGCUGUGUCGUUCUUUAGGGACCUUUUUAAUGGAGCUGCUAGAGAGUCAGUUGUCACAUUUAGAGAACUUAAUUUAUUGUACUCCCUCGUUCAUAGUAUAACUCCCUGAUUCUCACUGCCAUCUUAUUCAACAGUUUAAUAUCAUUUAUAGAUUUACAACCAUCAAUUUACACAGACAGUCUCACAAAUGUUCCCUAAAGUUAAUCUGUACUUUACACAUUUUUAAUUUCUGUAUCUUUAAAGAAAAUUACACAGCAGCAAAGAAGGUUGUAUGUUAAAAUACAGAAGGUUAUAUUGAUUUAAAUGUUAAUUUUGCUCGUAUAGCACCGGUGCUUCAUGAAACAGACCUUCCUAAAGUGGACAGUACCUGAUUUUGCUCUUAAAUUUCUGUUAAGUCAAAAUCAAAAACAGGGAUUAAUUCUUUGUAUUUUGUAUUACUCCCAUAGGGUGCAAAAGACAAAGUAACAAGGACAUAGACAGGUUAUAAAUAUAAAAUGAUUAGGGAACGGUCAAACAGAUACAAAUUGUCAUAAAUAGAACACAGACUAAUCAUCAACCAGCGAUAGAGACGAUAAAAGUAUACGUAAAAAGGAAAGAAACAUGAUCAUAACAAAUAAUGAUGUAUUUAAGAUAUGAUUAGAUUAGAUUUUAAUGAUAUUUUAAAAGAUUUAAAGGAUGAUAUAUCCAUGCAUCCAGAUUAUUCCACAGUUCUGUCCUCUAAAAGUGAUAUUUGACUGAUGACAAGAAGUUCAACAGAAAGGUAACUGAAGAUGUCCAUUUUGUCUUGUUGAGUACCGGUGAGGGUCGGAUGAAAAGGUAAAAAAGUUUGGGAAAGUUUCAGGGAGGUCUUCUUUCUUAUUAAUAAACUUAUGGACAAACAAACAAGAGUGAAAGACAUUGAGUUUGUCAAUCGGUAAGAUAGAGUAUUUGGAAAAGAGGGGUGCAGAGAGUUUGUGUCUGCUGGAUCGUGAUAUCAUUUAUAAGAAUCUUAACAUAAAAGCAAAACCAGGGAUAUCCAAUCAAUAAGCAGUAAGAAGACCAGGCACAAUUCACCCCUUCCUGUUGACUAUGUGGCAAAAAUGUCCAUGUCAGAGUCCUUUUCCCUCUAUCUGUUGAUUUAUUCAGAUUUGCACAACCAGCUUAUAUUUGUAAAUUAUCUCUUAUUAAAAAGUGAGCGGUGCUCUGUGAGGAGAAUUCCUCUCAGCCUAAAAUAUCAUUAAUAUUUAUGUCCUUUGUACUUUCUCCCCUGUUUGCUGAAAAGCACAGUCGUAUUUUUUUCUUUGUUGGUAGAUAACAGUAAGUGUCACAAAUGGAGGACCCAAAAUUCAGACUCAAAAACAAUUUAAUGAACAAAAAAAAGGAUAAAACAAACUUUCCAAAAAAUUCAAUCUGAAAAAGUACAAAACCAAAAACACCAGACCACUGAGAAGCAACAGGAGGAAAUACACAGACAAGACUAACACAAGACAUGAAACCCAAGAGGAACUACAAAAUAAAACAAAAUCAAGGCAUGAUUACAACACUGAGAAAUACUGGACUGAACAAUUAUCCUUCAUGGCAGUAAGAUUUGUUCUGUGUUACAUUGUGUCCUCUAAAAUAAAACCAAGCCAGAGGAUGAAUUGGCAAUAAAAUUGAAAAUAUAAUUAUGAAAAACAAGUCUAAUCCAGCUAUUGUGAAAAGUAGCCUAAUUUAUAAUGAAGCAUGUUGCUGAUAUGUUGAUUAAUUUGCACUGUCACUAUCCAAUAACUCACAUUAGUAACAGUAUGGAUAUUGCAAAAAAAUAAGUAAAACUAAGAUGAAAGGAUGAGCUAAAAAUAAUUCGAUAAAACUUUUUUUUAACAUCCAAAAUAUUUAGUCAGAUAAGGUCCAUGUAUUAUCUGUCCGUUUGAUUAUUCCAUUCAAUCUAGAAAACGAAAAAACAAGUCAAUAUUUUGUUUAUUUGUUUUCUGUAUUAGUGUUUAUUUUCGUAUUUUCAGCUCAAAACAGAUUAUAUGAUAGAGAUGAAAACAAAAUCAUAAAUCUUAUUUACAAUUAUUGAUUUUGAGUGCGCCUGUUUUCAGUAAACGUGCAUGGAGGCUACCAUGGUCUUCCCAUGAUCCUCAGGGACAAUUACCAUGGCGAAAGAUGCGUCAGAGCGGUUCGAUCGCCAAAAUCUUACAUUGUAGCAGAGCUCUGGUUGUAAUUUUUUCUACAGUCAUAUCUUCCUCCUUCAGCGUGACCCUCCUGGCGGCUUUGAAUAAUACGUAGGAUGCGUCCAUCUCAAUGACAACAGGUUAGCCUUUCUCUACCGCUCUGGCCGCGAGUUUUUGGUCCAUGUUGUUGGCUACUUUGUUGCACAAUGCACAUGUGCGAACAGUCGAAAGUCACCAUGGGAAAUGGGGACAUCAAUAACCCGAAAACAAAAAAGUAAAUAAAACAGAAAAACAAAUAAACAAAAUAUUGACUCGUUUUUUCGUUCACUAGCUUGAAUCGAAUAAUUGAGUGGAUGGAUAAUACGCGUACCAGAUAAAGUUGUUGAAUGUCAGAAUUCUCUUUUUGUCCAUAAAUUAAAUGUCUCUUCAUCUUUUAUUUGAAAGCUUAUCUUAAAUAAUCAAAAAUUAAGAAAUUUCUCUUAAAGACCUCCAGUUAAUCCUAAAGAAAACAGUCAACAGUUACCCUGUCUUUUAGUGAAAGGUCAAAUGCUUAAAACAAAGCGAGCACACAGAUUCAGUUUGUUCAGAGCAGAUCAAACAGGGGCACAAAGCCCACUGAAGAUUUUUUGGGCCAGCUGGCAAGCUGGAUCCCAAGAGCCCACUCCCACUGGGUGUGAAUCAGAAAUCUAACAGCUAAUGGCAACAGUUGCCCCAUGGUAGCACUUCUGACAGCAAACUAAUGUCCACACACACAUAGAGGAGCACAAGAGCUGUCAACACCCCACUAUGACCCUGUGGGUAUAAACUGACAAAAAAGAGGAAAGGAAGAAAAAUCAACCACCAGUUCAGCUUGAUGGCUGUUAUUUAUUUUUCCUAAACCUCUUAAGCACACUUGAGCCUUUUAACACUCAGGAUAGAUUUUUCUCUUCAGUGUUUGUCCUACUAUAAUUAAAAUGCUGAGUCACAUUUAAGAGUGAGAGAGGCGGCAUAUUGAACCAGUCUGUGAAGUAGUCUAUCAAUCCAGACGACAUAAUCAAACCUUUAUUAUUGGGUCUCACAGAGAUUAUCCACUUUAGAUGGCUGAUAAAUCAAGAGUCAUGUAGUUCCCAUGUUCAAGAUGAUAAGCGACCACUCAUGACACUCAUAUAUGGACGCCGAUGUGCUUUUCAUAUGUACCUUCACCUUCUGUUUCACUGCUACUCUUCCAUUUUUCAGUGAUUGGAAAUACCGGACAGGAUUUGACCCUCAAAUCAAAGUAUGAACCUUCUCUAGAAAUAAUGAAUUUUCCAUUGAGAGAUCCAGUCAUGUUGCUAAAUCACUUUUUAGGCCACAGAGACAUUUAUGGCUGUGUUAUUAAAAAUCUAUAGUAUAUGGUAUACAAGAGUGGAAAAGAUGUCUGUUGUGUUCUGCAAUGUGCAGUUUUUAUGCAGAUGUGUAGCUCUUUCUUGUACCAUCUGUUACCACCACCCUUCCAGCUACACAGAGUUAAAGAUGGAAUUAAAACACAACUUCUCCAAAACCUGCAAAGGUGCACAUAAACCAGAAUGAUAAGAAGCAACUGCUUUGACAGAAAGCAUUGAAAAAAUGUUAUUAGACAUGUAGUUUGACCCUUUUCCUUAAUAGAAGAGGCAGGUUUUAAAAAGGAUACCGCAGACAGUCAGCAGGGGGAGCUCUAACCCCCAAUUUCCACUGCUUCUGAAACAGCUAUGAAAAGGCCAUAUCUGCCGAUCACAACUGAUCGUAACCAUUCAAGUUAAUGUGUCAAUUUCCACCGGCUUCUUUCUGUUCCACUGCGGAUCGCUGGAUUCCACAGCUGAUUACAAUAGUUCUAUUUUUUCCAGUAAUCCAGUCCGUAAUCCGCCUCAAAAUUCGCCUCACAAACGGAUCCGGUAGGAAAUGGCGGACGGCAAAAAUCGCCUCCGUUCUGGAUCAGAGCUGUUCCGGAUGCGUUGAAAAUUGGGGGUAAAUGUCAUCAUUGUUGUAUCCACGGUUUCAUCGUCCUUGAAUGUAAACCUAAUUAAACGCACCUUUUAGUUCAAAUAAAACCAACAUCUGUUCUUCUAUUUUAUUGCAUAUCAUGAGAGCAGAUGAAUUAAGGGGUUAUAAUAAUCUGUAGUAGAGUGUUUUUUAAUUAACUACAAAAGCAGCUAAACCUGCAGGCUGUCAUGAUAAGAGCACUGAUGAUAGUGAGUGAAUCAGUGAACAGCUGCACUCUCUAGGAUGAGCGCUAUCUCCAACAUUCAGCACAACAACUAAGUGUGUUAUCUGCUGGUUAACCAACAACAAUUCUAAGGAAAACUAGCGUAUCAAAGUAAUCACACAGUCAAACUAUUUCACAUCAUUAUUAAUCUUGCGAGACUCCUGGCAUUAUUCAGCCCAAACAGGCAUCCAACUGAUAUAGAAACUAGAAAACCACUGUCCGAUGUGGAACCAUCACGAUUUUCAAUUUUAAUGCAGUUUUUUUUUUUUUUUUCCAGCGUUGGUCCACAGUGUAAGCAUUGUGAGACUGAAUCCUCGCAAUAUGAGCGAAACACUUCAGCAGAAACUCCGGGUUCUUUCCAAGAGAUCCCAGCAGAGAGUGCAUUAAUCAUCACAGUCUCCCCUCCAAAGUGAAGACAGGGAGCAACAGCUGUGGGAGAGGAGCCGGGCUUUAAACAGUGCAGGCUGCAGGAGGUUCAGCCAUCACUUCUUGUUGUGGAUUCUGACAUCAAUAGUAAUGAACACCUUGGAGCGUUGCCUGGCUGCCUGAGCAUGAAUUGUAUGAAGCUGGGCAGUGGAAGCACUUCUGUUUGUGUGUCUCUGUGUGUGUGUGUGUGUCCUCCUGACCAUGUUUGUGGGUCUGUGUGUGACCACUUGUACCAUACACAUUGUACCUGUUUGUCCUCUUGGGUCCCUGUGAGUGUGCCUCUUUGCUGAGGCAGUUAUGAGUAAUAUGCAGAAUAACAGGUAGACCUAAAUGACCUGUACUGACAAGAGAAAUUAAUCAGAACAUUGUUGGUGCUCUUGGUCGAGGUCAGGGGCUUCAUGCUGAGGUUACACCUGCAAGAGCUGGACUGAUACACUUAUACACAGCAUUUUUUUUAGUUUUUUUUUUUUAAUGAUCUAUGGCUGACUUGACCC